CCCAGGGACAUCACGGCACGAGUCCAGCUUUGUGUCACGGCCAUACUGGCGCUCAUCACAAUGGCCGGCAAUUGUAAGGAGCAUGGGAUUACAGUUGUAAGUGCAGAAGAUGUCUGGAUGCGCGGAGUUAUCACCGUCGUCAACUCUGGCUUGUUUGAGUACAGUUGCCGUCAACUCCAUACUCCGCGGAAAGUUGUUUAUGCUCUCCUUCCGCAGAACCCACAGGGGAAGAGUUGGGCCGAUCCCGGGACCUUCCACAGCCUGGGCAGAAGAGGAGGAAACGUCAUCUUCCGAGACUGUCGCCAACAGGAUCGACUUCUUCUCCAGAAUCCUGUUCCCAAUCAGUUUUACUGUCUUUGUGGCCGGAUUCCUUC